GCUUGUCUCAAAGAUUAAGCCAUGCAUGUCUAAGUAUAAACAAAUUUAUAGUGAAACUGCGAAUGGCUCAUUAUAUCAGUUAUAGUUUAUUUGAUGGUCCUUGCUACUUGGAUAACCGUAGUAAUUCUAGAGCUAAUACAUGCCACAAUACCCAACUGCUUGUCGGGCGGGUAGCAUUUAUUAGAUUGAAACCAAUGCAGCUUCGGCUGGUAUUGUGUUGAGUCAUAAUAACUGUGCGGAUCGCAUUUUUGCGAUAAGUCGAUUGAGUUUCUGCCCUAUCAGCUUUGGAUGGUAGGAUAUGGGCCUACCAUGGCAUUAACGGGUAACGGGGAAUUAGGGUUUGAUUCCGGAGAGGGAGCCUUAGAAACGGCUACCACAUCCAAGGAAGGCAGCAGG
rnacentral:rRNA from 1 species